CUCAGCUCCUCCCAGAAAGCUGCUUCCCUCCUGUGAUGCUUAUCCCAAGGUUAUCCCACACACACAACUGCAGAAGGAGCCAUGGGGAGUGUCCUAGGUCCAGACAAGUAAUUCUUGGUGCCUAAGAGAGAUGCAAACUUGGAUCUGCAGCCCCAGCUGUAAAAUCUUACAACUCUGAAAGCCUCUCCAGAGGGCUGAAGUAAAGGUUGUUGGAAAUUACUCCAUCUUGGACCUUCUGGCAUUUCCCUUUCAGUGGGUAUGGGCACAGAAACUCCUGAAAACUCAGUGGAGUGCAAGUCACACUGAUAUUUGGCUGGUACCUCCCUCAGACAGACAUGGCAGAGCAAACCUGGCCUUGGCCCUGAAGCACUGAGACCAGGAGAUCAUUGCUCAUUUUCUGGGCUUCAUCCUGCCUCCCCCAACAGACUGCAAUCUCUGCAGCAAGGAGAGAAACACCACCUCCCAAAGGAUGGCAUGGAGCACCAAGGAGAGCCAAAUCAGUUCUACAACAGCCAGGACAGGUGCCUGUACCAGACAGAAAGGAUUUAGGAACACGUGCACUCCUUUCCACCACUGCCUUCUCAGGCAGACAGAUCCCUUUGCAGAAAGGCCUUUAGCAUUUCAGCAUUAGAGCAGGUUAGAAUAAUUAGGAUCCUUUCCACCCCACUGUCAGGUAGGGAAGGACUAAUUAGCUUAAUUUCAUGUUUGGGAAGCCCAGAAAGCAGAGUACAUCCUUCUUGUGUUAAUUCAGCUCUUUAGUCCAAUGGUUACUUACAGCUGCCUAAUGUGGGAUUCACAUUCUGAGAACCUGAGAGAAGCAGAGAAGAGAAUGAUCAGAACAAUUCUUAUCUCAUUUGCUGCUCCUGUUGUUUUGUGAACACGUGGAAUGUGUUGGAAGGUUAUUUACCUGAAGGAAUUUGGUAACUGGAUUCUGGUGUGAGUGUUUUGGUUUUUUGACCAGUCUCUGCAAGCUGUGUCCUAACAGUUGGUCAGGAGACAGUCAGGAGAUUUUGUUGAGUGCUUGUGCAGUUUCAGUUUAGAUGUAGUGUAAUAUAGUAUAGUAUAAUAUAGUAUA